ACUGCGAAUGGCUCAUUAAAUCAGUUAUCGUUUAUUUGAUAGUACCUUACUACUUGGAUAACCGUGGUAAUUCUAGAGCUAAUACAUGCUUAAAAUCCCGACUGUUUGGAAGGGAUGUAUUUAUUAGAUAAAAAAUCAAUGCCUUCGGGCUCUUUGAUGAUUCAUAAUAACUUUUCGAAUCGCAUGGCCUUGUGCUGGCGAUGGUUCAUUCAAAUUUCUGCCCUAUCAACUUUCGAUGGUAGGAUAGUGGCCUACCAUGGUUUCAACGGGUAACGGGGAAUAAGGGUUCGAUUCCGGAGAGGGAGCCUGAGAAACGGCUACCACAUCCAAGGAAGGCAGCAGGCGCGCAAAUUACCCAAUCCCGACACGGGGAGGUAGUGACAAUAAAUAACGAUACAGGGCCCUUUCGGGUCUUGUAAUUGGAAUGAGUACAAUGUAAAUACCUUAACGAGGAACAAUUGGAGGGCAAGUCUGGUGCCAGCAGCCGCGGUAAUUCCAGCUCCAAAAGCGUAUAUAAAAGUUGUUGCAGUUUAAAAGCUCGUANUUGAACCUUGGGGCUUGGCUGGCCGGUCCAUCUUUUUUGAUGCGUACUGGACCCAGCCGAGCCUUUCCUUCUGGCUAGCCUUUUUGGCGAACCAGGACUUUUACUUUGAAAAAAUUAAAGUGUCAAAAGCAGGGCUUUGCUCGAAUAUAUUANCAUGGAAUAAUAGAAUA
rnacentral:rRNA from 1 species